CUAUAAGGCUUAUCUAUAUAGAUGCUUUGAACAUUGCUCUGAAUGCUACCAUUUGGUAUUUUUCAGAAUAGUGGUGUGCUUGAAAGCUCUGCUUUACUUUUCGAGAACAUACUUGCCUUUUGAUUAAUAGUCGUUGAAGGAUGUUUCUGGUCAUCAAGUAGCAUUUUGUAUGUUCUGGAUGUGGAGUGGAAGUGAGAUUAUAUCUAACUACGUGUUAAUUUCUAUUGGAAUUUUUUUGUGCUUCUACUUUGUCUUUCAUAUUCUGAAGAUUUAUAACUUUUGGUUGUUUGCAGAUUACAAUAUUCAUGAGAAAAAGUUCAAGUUUUUCAAAAUCAAAGGUGUACCCAUCAUAUGUAUUUUGAGGUUUCAGGUGGAAGAUCAUUUUGGAUGGUGUAUUUAGUUUUUCAAAACUCAUGUUUGUGUAAUUAUAACCAAAUUGAUGGCAUGAAGAUAUCUUUGCUAUAGUUCAGUUAUGUUUGCAUACUUUAUUUAAACACACUAAGCUGACCUACAUAUCAAUGUACAAAAAGAAAGAUAAUCAGGGUUCCAUUUUGUUAACUAGAACAAGAAAAGAGGAAGGUACUUAAGCUUCAGUUAUGUUUAUUGCGGUAAGAUUCUCAUCUUUUAACAAAUUUUUAUUCCUAUUUUUAUUACACUUAGUAUGUAUUAUUUGUGUUCUUGAAUUUCUUUUUUUAUUUUAGGGAAAAAGGGUCAAUAUUUUGUAUUUGUGGUUGUUGUCUUGAUUAAAAUUUUUAGAGUGGAGUUUUUGCUUUUAAUUCGUGGAAGCUGAAUUAAUAGAAGGGCGCCGACCUAUGAUACAGUGUGAUGAUUGAAUUAAAAGCUCCGGGUGGACCUUCUAAACAAACUUGAAAUUCUUAACAUUGACUUCAUUGUUGAAAGGUACUGAUGUUUAGCACAUAUCUUUUCAAAUGGAUGUUAUGCCAGCAGUUGUCUUACCUGGCUUGGAAGCCUUGGAGUACCUUAAAAGCAACUGCAGAGGAUUAUGAAAUGGCAACAGAAUAAAAAAAGAAGAUCAGAAGAUGUUAUUGCGCUUACACCAAAGCAAAUUCAGGCUGUGAUUCAGAAUUUGGAAAACUGGAGGGACAACAGCCACCAGAUAAAAUGCUUGUGACUGUUCCUAUUUAUUAUCUAUGCAGUCGUUAAUCGAUAAACCAACAAGGAGAAAAUGGUAUGAAGGAGAAAUUGGGAGUGAGAUGCGAGUGAACAAAGCCGACCGGCAAUUAGUAGAUACAAGAUUUAAGUCUAGCUAAAGAAGGUGCUUGAAUAUGUCAACAUUUUUUAUGUUUUUGGGUAUCUAUAUCGUCUAUGAUAGUUGACUGUACUUUUGUUUAAUUAAAUAGGACGAGACUUGCUUUA